CAAAACUUUCCUAAUGAAAUCUGAGGGAAACUGCUGGUCCGUUUGGGAUUUCAACACUAAUUAAGUGAGGAAGUUCUCAGUCAUGAUUGGACCCAGCUUCUUUGCACAAACUGUUAUAGAAGCUGAAGGCAGGACACAGCUUUGAGUGAAUGGCCAAGGAAACAAAACAAUCCUCAGCAGAAUCCAGUUACCAGAUUCCUUCAGCUUCUCUCUGUUCAGAGGGCAUGUGGACACCACAGACAUACAGCAUGGCUGCACAAAAUCACUGUGAGGCUGAAGUGUUACAGUGUCCAUGAACUUCUUCCCAGUGGGCUUGACUGAGG